UUUGCAGACAAGUCUGCAAAUUCGCAGACUUUUAAUUUAAGCAGCAGAUUUUUUCGAUGACGCAGAUAUUUGCAGAUUUUUCAGUAUGGUUGCAGAUAUUUGCAGAUUUUUUAGUUUGGUUGCAGAUAUUUACAGAUUUUUGAAUAUAAAGGCUUUUGGAUACACUAGCUUUCCUGACAUUUUUUGUUCUUCCCAGACUUUUAAAAUUAUUAUUGCAGACAUUUGAAAAAAGUACCUGGCAUCUCUGUUGACAAGUUUUUCUUCAGCGAUAAAUAAAACGAAGCAGCUUUCGAAAUUAUUUUCAUUUUUAUAUCUUUUUUACCGUAACUUUAUAAUAUUUAUAUUCUCGCGGUCGUUGUGUACGGAUCAAUCUUGGAACAAAACAUUCAGUGAAAACCUUCGCGCACCAGCAGCCACCACUUUCGCCAGCAGAACCAUUCAAAUGUUAGUGAUACAACCCUACCAUCCAAGGAUAAUAUUUUAUAAGUAAGUGUAGAGCAAAUGGUUCAUCUUGAUCCACCCAUUCUGCCGCAAGAGACGCGUCCUUUGAUUACAUACUAGUCAACGCAUUCCAUUUCGUAGUUUUUCUACGUAUUGGGAACGAUUACGUAAACUAGUAUACACACACGAGGUUGAACCAACGAAAUUGACUCUGCUUCAUAUGUAAUCUCCGGUUUCGACAGCCAGAUAAUUUGAUUUAUCACUAAAUAUAUCAGAUGAAAUAUGCUGCUCGAAAUUCUUAGGAGUUUUGCUAUUGGAACAAUUUUCACACUCAUGUGCGGAAGCAUUGGAUCGACAUGGGACUACAGAAAACCUUCGGAGGAAAUAACUUGAUUUGUAACGCACAGCGGAUAUCAAACAAAAAAACAGUGAUACUUAUA